ACAGGGGCAGCUACACAUGCAAGUCGAGCGAGAACUUCGGUUCUAGCGGCGGACGGGUUAGUAACGCGUGGGAACGUGCCCUUCACUACGGAAUAGUCCCGGGAAACUGGGUUUAAUACCGUAUACGCCCUUCGGGGGAAAGAAUUUCGGUGAAGGAUCGGCCCGCGUUAGAUUAGAUAGUUGGUGGGGUAACGGCCUACCAAGUCUACGAUCUAUAGCUGGUUUUAGAGGAUGAUCAGCAACACUGGGACUGAGACACGGCCCAGACUCCUACGGGAGGCAGCAGUGGGGAAUCUUAGACAAUGGGCGCAAGCCUGAUCUAGCCAUGCCGCGUGAGUGAUGAAGGCCUUAGGGUCGUAAAGCUCUUUCGCCAGGGAUGAUAAUGACAGUACCUGGUAAAGAAACCCCGGCUAACUCCGUGCCAGCAGCCGCGGUAAUACGGAGGGGGUUAGCGUUGUUCGGAAUUACUGGGCGUAAAGCGCGCGUAGGCGGAUUGGAAAGUUGGGGGUGAAAUCCCAGGGCUCAACCCUGGAACUGCCUCCAAAACUAUCAGUCUAGAGUUCGAGAGAGGUGAGUGGAACUCCGAGUGUAGAGGUGAAAUUCGUAGAUAUUCGGAAGAACACCAGUGGCGAAGGCGGCUCACUGGCUCGAUACUGACGCUGAGGUGCGAAAGUGUGGGGAGCAAACAGGAUUAGAUACCCUGGUAGUCC
rnacentral:rRNA from 1 species